rnacentral:tRNA from 1 species
GCCUGGGUGGCUCAGCAGUUGAGUGUCUGCCUUUGGCUCAGGGCAUGAUCCUGGAGAUGUGGGAUCGAGUCCCACGUCGGGCU